GGCGCGGUCGGCGAGGUGGUCGGGCACGCCGCUCUCGCGCAGGUGCGCGGCGAGGGCGGCGUACCAGCUGCGGUUGGACUCCGCGACCACGCCG
rnacentral:tRNA from 1 species